rfam:Otolemur garnettii contig002368, whole genome shotgun sequence.
AAGAGUAUCCAUUUAGGGAUCAUCUCUAUAGUUCAUCACCAAAGAAGUUUCUCCAAAAGCUCAGAGCACCAAACACCAUGAGGAGGAGAUGCAAUGUUCUCUCCUGAGUGUGAAGCCAGCUCUAGGGGUUGCUUCACUGCAACAGCCAUUUGCCAGUGAGGAUGGCUCUUCUCUUCCUGGAGUGUCACAAAGAGGAUGCAGUCUGAGCGGU